rnacentral:rRNA from 1 species
GAUGAACGCUGGCGGCGUGCCUAAUACAUGCAAGUCGAGCGAACAGAUAAGGAGCUUGCUCCUUUGACGUUAGCGGCGGACGGGUGAGUAACACGUGGAUAACCUACCUAUAAGACUGGGAUAACUUUGGGAAACCGGAGCUAAUACCGGAUAACAUAUUGAACCGCAUGGUUCAAUAGUGAAAGGCGGCUUUGCUGUCACUUAUAGAUGGAUCCGCGCCGUAUUAGCUAGUUGGUAAGGUAACGGCUUACCAAGGCAACGAUACGUAGCCGACCUGAGAGGGUGAUCGGCCACACUGGAACUGAGACACGGUCCAGACUCCUACGGGAGGCAGCAGUAGGGAAUCUUCCGCAAUGGGCGAAAGCCUGACGGAGCAACGCCGCGUGAGUGAUGAAGGUCUUCGGAUCGUAAAACUCUGUUAUCAGGGAAGAACAAAUGUGUAAGUAACUGUGCACAUCUUGACGGUACCUGAUCAGAAAGCCACGGCUAACUACGU